CCCAAGACACCAGGUGAGUUGAGUUAACUGUGUAAUCAACUGCUCUAAUUGAUUCAUGAAGUGCAGAGUCACUAUGAAAACCAGCAGACCCUGUAGCUCUCCAGGACCAGGGCUAGAGACCACUGCACUAGACUAGUCUGUUGGAGUGCCUAUGGGGAACCCUGGAGUAUAACCAAUGAAAUACAAGUGUAAAUCCCUACAGGUCACAUGGUGGAGAUAUAAUUUUAGUUAGCAACCAAGAACCUUCAGAACUGGACACUGGACCCGUCUUGCAACCUCAAUAGUUGUAGCAUAAGCCCAUUGAUGAAAAGUGUUUCAUAAGACUGCUCCUGAAAACUCCCAGAAUGCUGCUGUACAGCAGGAGACCAAAUGAUGUGCAGUGACUGGAGAGCCAGGUCCUGAAUUGCUACUGAAAACUUGCUACAAAUGUGUUUAACUAUAAGACUGUACACUGAAAAAGGAUACCUGUCAGAGUCACCCAUGAUGUGUACUUAACUGAAGAAAAAAAAAGUUCUGAUAAUAAAGAAACUGAGGAGUGUGUGUUAGUUGUUGUGACAGGUCAGAAUAAGGUGAUCUCACUUGAAUUUAUUUACUCUUUACUUCAUAAAGUCUAAUGGUUUCUUAAAGUUGUAUGAAACCAUGCAAUAAUUGUGAGAGGGUGAAGUAGUUCCCCAGUUGAAUCCCAAGGCUGACUGCAUUAACUGGAGCCAAAGUGGAAACAAAUGUAAAGUGCAGUAACUACACUUUUGGUGCAGCUGAUUUCCAGGGGAACAAAGUUAUGUCAGCUGAGUAUUCUCUGUGAGGCUCAGAGAACCAGCUGGGUAAAAAGUCAAGGCGUAAGCCCACGCUACAUGAUCUACUUAUAAAAUCACAGUGUCCCAACCCUGUUGUCACCGGCCCAAUGAUCUCCCUGGUUCUCCUGAUUAUCAACCCCACAUUGUUUCAAGUUGUUGCCUCAUUGCCCUGGCAUUGCAUCAAGUUGGAGCACACAUCAAAAUCAAGAGGUACUGGUGACCAGAUGUUGACUAAGAGGCCCUUUUGGAAUCACUUUAUUUGGCUUACCAGUCAACUGGCAUGCAUGACAUGAGCAACAGCACCUACACAAAUCAGUUUCAAACCAGAACAAAAGAAGCUAUUAAAAAUAUGAUUUAGGUUUUACUGAUCCCCCAAUGACCAGACAGAGCAUUGUCACAAGGCAAGCUCAGUAUCUGUGGACAGUAACCACAUGGAACAAUUUAGCAUUCCAUUUAUGCUCUUCAGCUGAAGGGGUUCACAUGAGGACAUUACCAUCCCAGUAGUAGUUUUAGCAGUGGUUCAUAUAAAUUGACUUAAAAUUUGAAUUUCAGAAAACCUAAAAAAAGGUAACAAGUUGAAGUAAAAAUUUUAGGUUUAUCCAUUAAAACAUUUUACCCCCUAUUUAAUCAGGUAGGUCAACAGAGAAUUUUGGUCUCAUUUGAAAACAUGGGGAAUCAAAGUGGGCAGGAAAUACAAGAGACUGAGUAGCCAAUCAGAUGUAGGGGAUGAUUAAGUGAUCAGAUGAGUGGAAUUCAUGACCUCAGUCAUGCUAUUUUGUUCCUGCUUAGCUGUGCAACAUGCCAUUGGCUUCAAGCAAAUUUUAAGAUUGAAUGUUGCCU